UACGGGGGGGGCAAGCGUUGUUCGGAAUUACUGGGCGUAAAGGGCUCGUAGGUGGCCAACUAAGUCAGACGUGAAAUCCCUCGGCUUAACCGGGGAACUGCGUCUGAUACUGGAUGGCUUGAGUUCGGGAGAGGGAUGCGGAAUUCCAGGUGUAGCGGUGAAAUGCGUAGAUAUCAAGAGGAACACCAGUGGCGAAGGCGAGUCCCUGGACAAUACCUGACACUGAGGCACGAAAGCCAAGGGAGCAAACAGG
rnacentral:rRNA from 1 species